GAAGCAGUAUGAUUGUCCGGUUGAAUUGAGAAUGGUUUUGUACGUUUAUAACAUCCUAAAGCUUGAUUCUGCACUUAGUUUGACCAGUUUAGUCGACAUAUAAUAUGUAAUUUUGAAGUUUUGAUGCGCAACUGUUCGGGACCAGAAGUAAUUUUGGGUGCAUUUCAGCAGAAAGUGCUAGCAGAUGCUACUAUAAGGACACACGAAGUGAAACAAAACGAUGUAUUGGCAGGACGAGGAGAAUGACCAGUAGAACACCAGCAACAACCAGACCCACAACCACUCCUACUAGGACUGAUGUAGAGGAUCCAGGAGCUACGGCUGGAGAGAGAACAGCACAACACCAUCAGACUCUGAGAGAGUCUCCACCCAGUAGAGUUUCCCUUGCAAAAAAGAGGAUAUCAGCCAUGUGAACCCAAUUUUCAGCUGAUGAUAAUGCCAUGCAACCCCAAUGCAGCCAUAGGCCUACAGCAGUCCUCGAGUAGACCCAACAGUAAAAGCAUAUUUUGUGGCCCUGGACAAUACCCUCAAUGAGAUGAAUCAGAGAGGUGCAGGGGGCUGCCUUAAUCGACAUCCAUGUCAUCGGCGCCCGGGGAGGAGUCUUGGUUACGCUCUUAACCAUUAGGUUACCUGCUGCUCUCCCAAAGAUGGACGUCAUAUUGUGCAAUUUGUGUCUCCCCUUCUCACAGGGCUAGAUUAGAUGGUUGCAUUCAAGACAAGGUGUUUUUUAUUGAUAUGUUUGUCAGUGUCAGGAGGGUAGGC
ensembl:lncRNA